rnacentral:tRNA from 1 species
GCCGGGGUGGCGGAACUGGUAGACGCGCCGGAUUCAAAAUCCGGUUCUGGAAACAGAGUGGGGGUUCGAUUCCCCCCCCCGGCACCA